UACGUAGGGUGCGAGCGUUGUCCGGAAUUAUUGGGCGUAAAGGGCUCGUAGGCGGUUUGUCGCGUCGGGAGUGAAAUCCACUGGCUUAACUGGUGGCUUGCUUUCGAUACGGGCAGACUGGAGGCAUGCAGGGGAGAACGGAAUUCCUGGUGUAGCGGUGAAAUGCGCAGAUAUCAGGAGGAACACCAGUGGCGAAGGCGGUGUUCUGGGCCAGUACUGACGCUGAGGCGCGAAAGCGUGGGGAGCGAACAGG
rnacentral:rRNA from 1 species